rnacentral:rRNA from 1 species
GAUGAACGCUGGCGGCGUGCUUAACACAUGCAAGUCGAACGGUGAAGCAGAGCUUGCUCUGUGGAUCAGUGGCGAACGGGUGAGUAACACGUGAGCAACCUGCCCCUGACUCUGGGAUAAGCGCUGGAAACGGCGUCUAAUACUGGAGAUGAGCUGCGACCGCGUGGUCAGCGGUUGGAAAGAGUUUUCGGUCUGGGAUGGGCUCACGGCCUAUCAGCUUGUUGGUGAGGUAAUGGCUCACCAAGGCGUCGACGGGUAGCCGGCCUGAGAGGGUGACCGGCCACACUGGGACUGAGACACGGCCCAGACUCCUACGGGAGGCAGCAGUGGGGAAUAUUGCACAAUGGGCGAAAGCCUGAUGCAGCAACGCCGCGUGAGCGAUGACGGCCUUCGCGUUGUAACCCUCUUUUCGCAGGGAAGAAGCGAAAGUGACGGUACCUGCAGAAAAAGCGCCGGCUAACUCCGUG